rnacentral:rRNA from 1 species
UUCCGGUUGAUCCUGCCGGACCCGACUGCUAUCAGAGUGGGACUAAGCCAUGCGAGUCGACGUAGCAAUGCGUGGCGAACGGCUCAGUAACACGUAGUCAACAUGCCCAGGGGACGUGGAUAACCUCGGGAAACUGAGAAUAAACCACGAUAGGUCACGAUUUCUGGAAUGGAUCAUGGCAUAAAUCUACAUGGCCCCUGGAUUGGACUGCGGCCGAUCAGGCAGUUGGUGAGGUAAUGGCCCACCAAACCUAUAACCGGUACGGGCUCUGAGAGGAGAAGCCCGGAGAUGGGCACUGAGACAAGGGCCCAGGCCCUAUGGGGCGCAGCAGGCGCGAAACCUCUGCAAUAGGCGAAAGCCUGACAGGGUUACUCUGAGUGAUUUCCGCUAAGGGGAUCUUUUGGCACCUCUAAAAAUGGUGCAGAAUAAGGGGUGGGCAAGUCUGGUGUCAGCCGCCGCGGUAAUACCAGCACCCCGAGUGGUCGGGACGAUUAUUGGGCCUAAAGCAUCCGUAGCCGGUUCUGCAUGUCUUCCGUUAAAUCCAGCCGCUCAACGGAUGGGCCGCGGAGGAUACUAUAGGACUAGGAGGCGGGAGAGGCAAGCGGUACUCAGUGGGUAGGGGUAAAAUCCUUUGAUCCAUUGAAGACCACCAGUGGCGAAGGCGGCUUGCCAGAACGCGCUCGACGGUGAGGGAUGAAAGCUGGGGGAGCAACCGGAUUAGAUACCCGGGUAGUCCCAG